CCCAUUACUAAUACCAGACCAUUACAAUUCAGAUUUUCAUUUAACAUAGGUAUUCUUGCUCAUGAACCAUAGAAUCUUUUCUGAAUCUCGCAAUUUUGGUGGCGUACCCUGCAACAGCAUGUUUGUUGUUAUGGCUGUUUUUACUUCUGUUUAGAAUGCAACCCAGCUGGGGGAUAGAGUUUCAGAGACAUGAAACCUGCCAUGUAUGUACCAGAUCUGCUUGAUGAAAGUCAAAUGCCUUACUAAAUUCAUCACCCACAUGAUAGAGCAUCAGGAAAUUUAUCUCAACAUGUGAAG